UGUGCUUGCACAUCGCUGACGAGUGGCGGACGGGUGAGUAAUGCUUGGGAACUUGCCUUUGCGAGGGGGAUAACAGUUGGAAACGACUGCUAAUACCGCAUAAUGUCUACGGACCAAACGGGGCUUUUGGCUCCGGCGCAAAGAGAGGCCCAAGUGAGAUUAGCUAGUUGGUGGGGUAAAGGCUCACCAAGGCAACGAUCUCUAGCUGUUCUGAGAGGAAGAUCAGCCACACUGGGACUGAGACACGGCCCAGACUCCUACGGGAGGCAGCAGUGGGGAAUAUUGCACAAUGGGGGAAACCCUGAUGCAGCCAUGCCGCGUGUGUGAAGAAGGCCUUCGGGUUGUAAAGCACUUUCAGUUGUGAGGAAAGGUUGGUAGUUAAUACCUGCCAGCUGUGACGUUAACAACAGAAGAAGCACCGGCUAACUCCGUGCCAGCAGCCGCGGUAAUACGGAGGGUGCGAGCGUUAAUCGGAAUUACUGGGCGUAAAGCGCACGCAGGCGGUUUGUUAAGCUAGAUGUGAAAGCCCCGGGCUCAACCUGGGAUGGUCAUUUAGAACUGGCANACUANAGUCUUGGAGAGGGGAGUGGAAUUCCAGGUGUAGCGGUG
rnacentral:rRNA from 1 species